UGCAAGUCGAACGGUAACAGGAAGCAAGCUUGCUUCUUUGCUGACGAGUGGCGGACGGGUGAGUAAUGUCUGGGAAACUGCCUGAUGGAGGGGGAUAACUACUGGAAACGGUAGCUAAUACCGCAUAACGUCGCAAGACCAAAGAGGGGGACCUUCGGGCCUCUUGCCAUCGGAUGUGCCCAGAUGGGAUUAGCUUGUUGGUGGGGUAACGGCUCACCAAGGCGACGAUCCCUAGCUGGUCUGAGAGGAUGACCAGCCACACUGGAACUGAGACACGGUCCAGACUCCUACGGGAGGCAGCAGUGGGGAAUAUUGCACAAUGGGCGCAAGCCUGAUGCAGCCAUGCCGCGUGUAUGAAGAAGGCCUUCGGGUUGUAAAGUACUUUCAGCGGGGAGGAAGGGAGUAAAGUUAAUACCUUUGCUCAUUGACGUUACCCGCAGAAGAAGCACCGGCUAACUCCGUGCCAGCAGCCGCGGUAAUACGGAGGGUGCAAGCGUUAAUCGGAAUUACUGGGCGUAAAGCGCACGCAGGCGGUUUGUUAAGUCAGAUGUGAAAUCCCCGGGCUCAACCUGGGAACUGCAUCUGAUACUGGCAAGCUUGAGUCUCGUAGAGGGGGGUAGAAUUCCAGGUGUAGCGGUGAAAUGCGUAGAGAUCUGGAGGAAUACCGGUGGGCGAAGGCGGCCCCCUGGACGAAGACUGACGCUCAGGUGCGAAAGCGUGGGGAGCAAACAGGAUUAGAUACCCCUGGUAGUCCACGCCGUAAACGAUGUCGAACUUUGGAGGUUGUGCCCUUGAGGCGUGGCUUCCGGAGCUAACGCGUUAAGUCGACCGGCUGGGGGAGUACGGGCCGCAAGGUUAAAACUCAAAUGAAAUUGACGGGGGCCCGCACAAGCGGGGGGAAGCAUGUGGUUUAAUUCGAUGCAACGCGAAGAACCUUACCUG
rnacentral:rRNA from 1 species